rnacentral:rRNA from 1 species
UACGAAGGGUGCAAGCGUUACUCGGAAUUACUGGGCGUAAAGCGUGCGUAGGCGGUUCGUUAAGUCUGACGUGAAAUCCCCGGGCUCAACCUGGGACGUGCGUUGGAAACUGGCGAUCUAGAGUACGGUAGAGGGUGGUGGAAUUCCCGGUGUAGCAGUGAAAUGCGUAGAGAUCGGGAGGAACACUCGUGGCGAAGGCGGCCACCUGGACCAGUACUGACGCUGAGGCACGAAAGCGUGGGGAGCAAAC